rnacentral:rRNA from 1 species
GGUGCAAGCGUUAUCGGAAUUACUGGGCGUAAAGCGUGCGUAGGUGGUUAAUUAAGUUAUCUGUGAAAUCCCUGGGCUCAACCUGGGCAGGUCAGAUAAUACUGGUUAACUCGAGUAUGGGAGAGGGUAGUGGAAUUUCCGGUGUAGCGGUGAAAUGCGUAGAGAUUGGAAGGAACACCAGUGGCGAAGGCGGCUCCCUGGACUCAAACUGACGCUGAGGUACGAAAGCGUGGGUAGCAAACAGGAUUAGAUACCCUGGUAGUCCACGCCGUAAACGAUGUCAACUAACUGUUGGGUUCUUUAAGAACUUAGUAGUGGAGCUAACGUAUUAAGUUGACCGCCUGGGGAGUACGGCCGCAAGGCUAAAACUCAAAUGAAUUGACGGGGGCCCGCACAAGCGGUGGAGCAUGUGGUUUAAUUCGAUGCAACGCGAAGAACCUUACCUACCCUUGACAUCCUCGGAACUUGUCAGAGAUGACUUGGUGCCUUCGGGAACCGAGAGACAGGUGCUGCAUGGCUGUCGUCAGCUCGUGUUGUGAAAUGUUGGGUUAAGUCCCGUAACGAGCGCAACCCUUAUCUUUAGUUGCCAGCGAGUAAUGUCGGGAACUCUAGGGAGACUGCCGGUGAUAAACCGGAGGAAGGUGGGGACGACGUCAAGUCAUCAUGGCCCUUAUGGGUAGGGCUACACACGUGCUACAAUGGCCGGUACAGAGGGCAGCGAAGCCGUGAGGUCAAGCAAAUCCCACAAAGCCGGUCCCAGUCCGGAUUGCAGUCUGCAACUCGACUGCAUGAAGUCGGAAUCGCUAGUAAUCGCGGAUCAGAAUGCCGC